rnacentral:rRNA from 1 species
UUAAGCGACUAAGCGUACACGGUGGAUGCCCUGGCAGUCAGAGGCGAUGAAGGACGUGCUAAUCUGCGAAAAGCGUCGGUAAGGUGAUAUGAACCGUUACAGCCGGCGAUGUCCGAAUGGGGAAACCCAGUGCAAUUCGUUGCACUAUCGUUAACUGAAUACAUAGGUUAACGAGGCGAACCGGGGGAACUGAAACAUCUAAGUACCCCGAGGAAAAGAAAUCAACCGAGAUUCCCCCAGUAGCGGCGAGCGAACGGGGAGCAGCCCAGAGUCUGAAUCAGCUUGUGUGUUAGUGGAACGGUCUGGAAAGUCCGACGGUACAGGGUGAUAGUCCCGUACACCAAAAUGCACAGGCUGUGAACUCGAAGAGUAGGGCGGGACACGUGGUAUCCUGUCUGAAUAUGGGGGGACCAUCCUCCAAGGCUAAAUACUCCUGACUGACCGAUAGUGAACCAGUACCGUGAGGGAAAGGCGAAAAGAACCCCGGCGAGGGGAGUGAAAAAGAACCUGAAACCGUGUACGUACAAGCAGUGGGAGCACCUUCGGGUGUGACUGCGUACCUUUUGUAUAAUGGGUCAGCGACUUAUAUUCUGUAGCAAGGUUAACCGUAUAGGGGAGCCGCAGGGAAACCGAGUCUUAACUGGGCGUUAAGUUGCAGGGUAUAGACCCGAAACCCGGUGAUCUAGCCAUGGGCAGGUUGAAGGUUGGGUAACACUAACUGGAGGACCGAACCGACUAAUGUUGAAAAAUUAGCGGAUGACUUGUGGCUGGGGGUGAAAGGCCAAUCAAACCGGGAGAUAGCUGGUUCUCCCCGAAAGCUAUUUAGGUAGCGCCUCGUGAAUUCAUCUUCGGGGGUAGAGCACUGUUUCGGCUAGGGGGUCAUCCCGACUUACCAACCCGAUGCAAACUACGAAUACCGAAGAAUGUUAUCACGGGAGACACACGGCGGGUGCUAACGUCCGUCGUGAAGAGGGAAACAACCCAGACCGCCAGCUAAGGUCCCAAAGUCAUGGUUAAGUGGGAAACGAUGUGGGAAGGCACAGACAGCCAGGAUGUUGGCUUAGAAGCAGCCAUCAUUUAAAGAAAGCGUAAUAGCUCACUGGUCGAGUCGGCCUGCGCGGAAGAUGUAACGGGGCUAAACCAUGCACCGAAGCUGCGGCAGCGACACUAUGUGUUGUUGGGUAGGGGAGCGUUCUGUAAGCCUGCGAAGGUGACCUGUGAGGCAUGCUGGAGGUAUCAGAAGUGCGAAUGCUGACAUAAGUAACGAUAAAGCGGGUGAAAAGCCCGCUCGCCGGAAGACCAAGGGUUCCUGUCCAACGUUAAUCGGGGCAGGGUGAGUCGACCCCUAAGGCGAGGCCGAAAGGCGUAGUCGAUGGGAAACAGGUUAAUAUUCCUGUACUUGGUGUUACUGCGAAGGGGGGACGGAGAAGGCUAUGUUAGCCGGGCGACGGUUGUCCCGGUUUAAGCAUGUAGGCUGGUUAUCCAGGCAAAUCCGGAUAAUCAAGGCUGAGGUGUGAUGACGAGGCACUACGGUGCUGAAGUAACAAAUGCCCUGCUUCCAGGAAAAGCCUCUAAGCAUCAGGUAACAUCAAAUCGUACCCCAAACCGACACAGGUGGUCAGGUAGAGAAUACCAAGGCGCUUGAGAGAACUCGGGUGAAGGAACUAGGCAAAAUGGUGCCGUAACUUCGGGAGAAGGCACGCUGGUGUGUAGGUGAAGCCCCUGCGGGUGGAGCUGAGACCAGUCGAAGAUACCAGCUGGCUGCAACUGUUUAUUAAAAACACAGCACUGUGCAAACACGAAAGUGGACGUAUACGGUGUGACGCCUGCCCGGUGCCGGAAGGUUAAUUGAUGGGGUUAUCCGUAAGGAGAAGCUCUUGAUCGAAGCCCCGGUAAACGGCGGCCGUAACUAUAACGGUCCUAAGGUAGCGAAAUUCCUUGUCGGGUAAGUUCCGACCUGCACGAAUGGCGUAAUGAUGGCCAGGCUGUCUCCACCCGAGACUCAGUGAAAUUGAACUCGCUGUGAAGAUGCAGUGUACCCGCGGCAAGACGGAAAGACCCCGUGAACCUUUACUAUAGCUUGACACUGAACAUUGAGCCUUGAUGUGUAGGAUAGGUGGGAGGCUUUGAAGCGUGGACGCCAGUCUGCGUGGAGCCAACCUUGAAAUACCACCCUUUAAUGUUUGAUGUUCUAACGUUGGCCCCUGACCGGGGUUGCGGACAGUGUCUGGUGGGUAGUUUGACUGGGGCGGUCUCCUCCCAAAGCGUAACGGAGGAGCACGAAGGUUAGCUAAUCCUGGUCGGACAUCAGGAGGUUAGUGCAAUGGCAUAAGCUAGCUUGACUGCGAGCGUGACGGCGCGAGCAGGUGCGAAAGCAGGUCAUAGUGAUCCGGUGGUUCUGAAUGGAAGGGCCAUCGCUCAACGGAUAAAAGGUACUCCGGGGAUAACAGGCUGAUACCGCCCAAGAGUUCAUAUCGACGGCGGUGUUUGGCACCUCGAUGUCGGCUCAUCACAUCCUGGGGCUGAAGUAGGUCCCAAGGGUAUGGCUGUUCGCCAUUUAAAGUGGUACGCGAGCUGGGUUUAGAACGUCGUGAGACAGUUCGGUCCCUAUCUGCCGUGGGCGCUGGAGAAUUGAGGGGGGCUGCUCCUAGUACGAGAGGACCGGAGUGGACGCAUCACUGGUGUUCGGGUUGUCAUGCCAAUGGCACUGCCCGGUAGCUAAAUGCGGAAGAGAUAAGUGCUGAAAGCAUCUAAGCACGAAACUUGCCCCGAGAUGAGUUCUCCCUGAGACUUUAAGUCUCCUGAAGGAACGUUGAAGACGACGACGUUGAUAGGCCGGGUGUGUAAGCGCAGCGAUGCGUUGAGCUAACCGGUACUAAUGAACCGUGAGGCUUAACCUU